rnacentral:rRNA from 1 species
GGCGAACGGGUGACGUAACACGUGGGUGACCUGCCCUUCACUCUGGGACUAAGCCUGGGAAACUGGGUCUAAUACCGGAUAUUCACUCUUCCUCGCAUGGGGGUUGGUGGAAAGUUUUUUCGGUGGGGGAUGGGCCCGCGGCUAUCAGCUUGUUGGUGGGGUGAUGGCCUACCAAGGCGACGACGGGUAGCCGGCCUGAGAGGGCGACCGGCCACACUGGGACUGAGACACGGCCCAGACUCCUACGGGAGGCAGCAGUGGGGAAUAUUGCGCAAUGGGCGGAAGCCUGACGCAGCGACGCCGCGUGGGGGGUGACGGCCUUCGGGUUGUAAACCUCUUUCGACCUCGACGAAGCUUUCGGGUGACGGUAGGGGUAGAAGAAGCACCGGCCAACUACGUGCCAGCCGNCGCGG